GGGUCUAUAGCUUAGUGGUAGAGCAUUUGACUAUAGAUCAAGAGGUCAUCGAUUUGAUCCC
rnacentral:tRNA from 1 species